GCAAGGGGAGCGGCAGACGGGAGAGUAACACGUGGGAACGUGCCCUUCAGUUCGGAACAACCCAGGGAAACUUGGGCUAAUACCGGAUACGUCCGUAAGGAGAAAGAUUUAUCGCUGAAGGAUCGGCCCGCGUCUGAUUAGCUAGUUGGUGAGGUAACGGCUCACCAAGGCGACGAUCAGUAGCUGGUCUGAGAGGAUGAUCAGCCUCACUGGGACUGAGACACGGCCCAGACUCCUACGGGAGGCAGCAGUGGGGAAUAUUGGACAAUGGGCGCAAGCCUGAUCCAGCCAUGCCGCGUGGGUGAUGAAGGCCCUAGGG
rnacentral:rRNA from 1 species